AAUUAGAAUUCUGCGUUUCAUUAACAGUGUAUCGUGAUGGGCUUUCUCCGCGUAUCCGGCCCGAGAGGAUCGUCAAACCCUAAUUGCUAGAUUUGUUCAUCGUCUCUCCAUUCCUGCACAUGACGCCUGAGCUUCUGUCCAUGGUUGAAACCGUCGGAAGUCGGAGCUGUAACAUCGUGUUUAAUCCCACAUUCAAUGAUCCUUAUCUCUUCAAGACGGUGUUUCUCAAUCUAUAAAAAGGUACUCCUAUACCCAUAGAACAUCAGUUCAUGAAAAUCCUCAAUAAACAUAAUAUUUGCAAUAUAUAAUGGCUAAUUCACCUGUUUUUCCGGUGUCGAGCUGUGUUUGCUCCGAUUCUAGGAAGCUUGAUUCGAAGUCGACCCUCACGCCAACCAUCGUAAAUGUUCACCGUCUCGCCGCCGCUUUUAGGACUGUCUCAAGACUGGUUCAGUGUUCACACCAUAGCUCCUUGAUACAGAUGGUCUAAUCUUUGGAAUGGACGCCUGAGAAGAACCGAAAGUCAGCGCAUCCUAACAAUAUGGGCCUCUGCUAGAAGUGCAGAGUGCUGUAAAAGGGAAAGACAAAGAAAAGGGCAAGUAAUAAAGUGCUGAAAAUUGUAAUCGUUUAGAUCUUGAAGAGGGUGGACGGACUUUAGUACCGCUACAUCAUGGACAUCAUCAAAGAACUUGCUAAGGUGCUCAAAGAUGAUCUCACCCCAAGAAAGAAAUCUACAAAGCUAAUGAUCCAAACGAGCUCACCGGAUAAGCAGCAGCGGUAGAUGAAGGAGAGGAUGAGAAGAAAUAAGAACAUGGUAUAAAUUUUUGUUGUUUUGUUUGAGUCUGAACUGUGCAAAGCAUUUUUGUUUUUGGUAGCAAGAGGAAGAAGCUGCAUAGCCAGGUAGGUUUUAUGUAUGUCUAUACCAUUUAACAAAAAGUCUCCUUAGAUAACCGUCUGAUUUGUGAGGGUCUCUUUCGAACAAUAUUCAGUGGGAAUAAAUAAAGAAUAUGAUUGUCUUAUUAUAUAGGUUAUCAACUUAAACAACUACUCACUAAUUUAAUCGUCUCUCCCUUUCAUUACAGACUUUGUGGGCAAGACGUACUACUGUUAAACAUCAGACAAUAGCUUUAUGGUUUGCAUACAUGUUGGUAUCAGUAUCACCAAUAACUUUCAUAUUUCUUUUUCUCCAUGUUACAUCACCUGUUUUUAUUUAUUUCUUCAGUUCGCUUUUAAAUUAAAAUUGCGAUUUUUUGCGUUU